rnacentral:rRNA from 1 species
GACGAACGCUGGCGGCGUGCUUAACACAUGCAAGUCGAACGGAAAGGCCCUGCUUUUGUGGGGUGCUCGAGUGGCGAACGGGUGAGUAACACGUGAGUAACCUGCCCUUGACUUUGGGAUAACUUCAGGAAACUGGGGCUAAUACCGGAUAGGAGCUCCUGCUGCAUGGUGGGGGUUGGAAAGUUUCGGCGGUUGGGGAUGGACUCGCGGCUUAUCAGCUUGUUGGUGGGGUAGUGGCUUACCAAGGCUUUGACGGGUAGCCGGCCUGAGAGGGUGACCGGCCACAUGGGGACUGAGAUACGGACCAGACUCCUACGGGAGGCAGCAGUGGGGAAUAUUGCACAAUGGGCGGAAGCCUGAUGCAGCAACGCCGCGUGCGGGAUGACGGCCUUCGGGUUGUAAACCGCUUUCGCUUGUGACGAAGCGUGAGUGACGGUAAUGGGUAAAGAAGCACCGGCUAACUACGUG